AGAGUUCGAUCCUGGCUCAGGAUGAACGCUGGCGGCGUGCUUAACACAUGCAAGUCGAACGAGAAAUAAUAUUCGGAACUCUUCGGAGAACCCUUUUAUUUCGAGUGGCGGACGGGUGAGUAACGCGUGAGCAACCUGCCCUGUACCGGGGGAUACCAGUUGGAAACGACUGUUAAUACCGCAUAAGCGCACGAUAAGACAUCUUGUUGUGUGAAAAACUCCGGUGGUAUAGGAUGGGCUCGCGUAUGAUUAGCCAGUUGGCGGGGUAAAGGCCCACCAAAGCGACGAUCAUUAGCCGACCUGAGAGGGCGACCGGCCACAUUGGGACUGAGACACGGCCCAAACUCCUACGGGAGGCAGCAGUGGGGAAUAUUGCACAAUGGGCGAAAGCCUGAUGCAGCGACGCCGCGUGAGUGAGGAAGUAUUUCGGUAUGUAAAGCUCUAUCAGCAGGGAAGAAAGAAAUGACGGUACCUGAGUAAGAAGCUCCGGCUAAAUACGUGCCAGCAGCCGCGGUAAUACGUAUGGAGCAAGCGUUAUCCGGAUUUACUGGGUGUAAAGGGAGCGUAGGCGGCAGAGCAAGUCUGAUGUGAAAGCCCGGGGCUCAACCCCGGUAGUGCAUUGGAAACUGUUCAGCUUGAGUGUCGGAGGGGUAAGCGGAAUUCCUGGUGUAGCGGUGAAAUGCGUAGAUAUCAGGAAGAACACCGGAGGCGAAGGCGGCUUACUGGACGAUUACUGACGCUGAGGCUCGAAAGCGUGGGGAGCGAACAGGAUUAGAUACCCUGGUAGUCCACGCCGUAAACGAUGAGUGCUAGGUGUUGGAUCCUUUCCGGGAUUCAGUGCCGCAGCUAACGCAUUAAGCACUCCGCCUGGGGAGUACGACCGCAAGGUUG
rnacentral:rRNA from 1 species